GAUGAAGAACGCAGCGAAAUGCGAUACUUGGUGUGAAUUGCAGAAUCCCGUGAACCAUCGAGUCUUUGAACGCAAGUUGCGCCCGAAGCCACUAGGCCGAGGGCACGCCUGCCUGGGCGUCACACGCCGUUGCCCCCCCAUCUACUCCUUCGGGAUUGCGGGGGGGCGGAUGAUGGCCUCCCGUGCGCCUAGCCGCGCGGUUGGCAUAAAUACCAAGUCCUCGGCGACGCACGCCACGACAAUCGGUGGUUGCGAAACCUCGGUUGCCCGUCGUGUGCGUUCGUCGCACAUCGAGGGCUCGAAAAAAUGCUCGGCUCCGGCUGGGCUUUCAACGCGACCCCAGGUCAGGCGGGGUUACCCGCUGAAUUUAAGCAUAUCAAUAAGCGGAGGA
rnacentral:misc_RNA from 1 species